CCAUAGCGUAUAUUUAAGUUGUUGCAGUUAAAAAGCUCGUAGUUGGAUUUCGGGUGGGACGCAGCGGUCUCGCAUUGCGUUUGUACUGCUGCAGCCCUCCUUCUUGCCGGGGGCGGCCUCUCGGACUUCACUGUCUGGGGGUCAGAAUCGGCGAUGUUACUUUGAGUAAAUUAGAGUGUUCAAAGCAAGCUUACGCUCUGAAUAUAAUAGCAUGGGAUAACACGACAGGACUCUGGCCUAUCGUGUUGGUCUAUAGGACCAGAGUAAUGAUUAAGAGGGACAGUCGGGGGCAUUCGUAUUCCGUUGUCAGAGGUGAAAUUCUUGGAUUUACGGAAGACGAACAUCUGCGAAAGCAUUUGCCAAGGAUGUUUUCAUUGA
rnacentral:rRNA from 1 species